AUUCCUGUUCAGAUACUUCAUCAUAGCACCAACAGCCUAGAAUUAGACUGAAAUUGAUUCAACUAUGACUCGAGAUACCUUCAAUAAGUUACUUCAAAUCACAACUACAAGAAAAACAGUCAACCAAACGAGAAACAGUAUGAGCGAUGAGUACCUCAAGGAUUGCGGGUGGUGGGGGCAGAGGCAUGUUCUGCUAUCACUGCCCGCCUGCUUUACAUCCUGGUGCGCCUCAGCCUAGGCUUCCCACGUUGGAGUAUCCUUUCACGCCCAGCCAUCCUUAUACGAGCUAUUCUUACCAUCCAGCAAUUCAUGACGACACGUUCGUUAGGAGGAAGCAGAGGCGUAACAGGACGACUUUCACUCUCCAACAGCUGGAGGAGUUGGAGACUGCCUUCGCUCAGACCCACUACCCUGACGUCUUCACCAGAGAAGAUCUGGCCAUGAAGAUCAACCUCACGGAGGCUCGCGUUCAGGUUUGGUUCCAAAACAGAAGGGCCAAAUGGAGGAAGGCCGAGAGGUUGAAGGAGGAACAAAGGAAAAGAGAAGGACAAGAAAUGCUGAAGAGAGACGGCGAUGCCAAGGAAGAAAAGCUGGAGGAAAUCAACGCUACCAGUUCUCCAGAACCACCAAACGUCGGAGAGGACGAGAUACAGACCAGAGAGUGUUCAAGCAGGAGUAGCGCCGGUAGAGAGUCUCCGGACCAAGGCAAGGGGUCUACAGAAGCUGGUGACCCUUCGAAUCCUUCUUCGCCUCACAGUCCGGCACCGUCGGUGUCUUCCGAGCCUCCGAGGCAGCUUCCACCACCUUUUCCGCAUCUGUUUCCUUUCGGAGAUGGCUCUGCAAGCUUCAGGCCUAUGAUGGACCAUUCGAAUUCAACAGCUAGAUCUUCGUCUGCGUUGUUCUUCCCGCCCCAUUUAGCAUCACACUUUUCGCCGCCACUGUUCCCAACAUUGAAAGGAUUCCCCGGCCUCUGCUCCUGCUGCCCCAUCAAGCCGCUGUCUUCGCUCGGAUCGCAGCUGCUGCCAUCUAGCGAGGCGUCGCAGCUCUCUCCGCACAACGACCAGCGCUCGUCCAGCGUCGCCGAUCUGCGCAGGAAGGCGCAGGAACACUCCGCCGCCAUUUUGCAGAGCCUGCAGCACGUGGCCAACUUCCAGCAGGCGGCCAGUUUGGCGGGAGGACUGAACUUCCCGCUCCUGCCGCCGCUGUCGCUGCAGGCGGCGUUCCACAGCAGGAAGCAGGAAUCUGCGAACGAGGCAGCGGCGUCUCAAGGCAAAGAGCAGACGGGAUCAUAGAACGAGGGAUCGUUUUCUAUGGGCGGCGAUUCGUUUUGAAAAUGUAAGGUUAUUCGUCGGGGCAAUCGGUUCAAGUGAUAAAAAGAAUGUUUGUUUUCUAGAUAAAAAUUGAUUAAUCGUAGCACUUAAGGUACAAAAGAUAUUAUGGUCGUCUCGACUAGUCAUAAGAGGCGAUGGUUCUGUCUUGAAUCUGUAUAUAUAUAAAGGUUUCUGUUGAAUCAAGAGAUGGAACGUAGAGUUUCAAGAAAUGUUGGUCGAGAAUUUUUCGAACGGGAAUGAAAACAGAUGGUUUUUGCUUUGAUGAGAAGAAAGAAAAAUAUUGUUGAAGAGAUCAAUAAAGUUAUGAUUUGAGUUUUGGAAAAUGCGAAGAAUUGUUGAUCUGAGAAAUUUUUGAAGAGGAGCUAAGAGUAGCAGUUUGGCUCAGGUUUGAAAGAUGAGUAAAAAUGCUGGAAGACUAUCAAAUACUCCAUUGAAAUGUAUGUGUGAAUGAGCCCAGCCGAAAACUGAGAACUUGGAGGAGAGCAAAUCUUGUUGCUGUAUUUCUACAAAAUACGUUCAGCAUCUCAACUGGAUAUACAUAUACUCAUAUUUAGCUUUUUUGAAUUGAAAUGUCGUUCCUAACAAUGUCAUUGUACUUACGAUUCACGUUAUUUUUUGUAUAAAUAUAAAAAAAGGGUUUAAAAUAUAUGUA